rnacentral:lncRNA from 1 species
AUUUUUCUGAAUAUGCGUAUCUGAGGCCUUAAGCUAGAGAAACCACAAGCGACUGCCAUCUUCAAAACAGUGUCACUGAUUGAUUUCUUAAGCUGGGCAUUGAUUUCUUAAGUGUGCUAAAUACUUCAUAAAGCAUAAAGAGAAGGACCAGGCAGCCAUCCAUUCUAAAGACAUUAGGAUGCAAGUAUAUCUCAUGAUAUGUAUCCCUGUUAUUUCCUCACUUCUUAUUAAAUGACUUCUUUCUGACCUAAGUUUCUUCAUCUCUGAACAGGGUAUUUCUUUCUCUUUUUCCAUUUAUUCAUUUUCUUGCCUUUCUUUUUAUUUCAUAUGAAACCCACUGCUUACAAGCAAGAGUAAUUAUUCACUGGUUCUCUUAUCUUUGUUUCCCCACACAUUCCUUGCAGGCGUAAUGACUGUGACUAUAUGUGGUCUCUGAAUAUGCUGGUCAGCAAACACAAACAAAUAUUCUCCUAACCUACAGACAUGAGUGGCAGGAAUCUGGAGAAGAGAAAGAGAAGAGUUACCCGAGGAACAUAAAGGUAAUCUGCAGUCUUGGGUUGUUGUUACGGGUUAAAUUUUGUCCAUCCAAAAUCCACAGGUUAAUCCAAGGCAUCAGAAUGUGAUAAUUUUUUUGGAGAUACGGCCUUUAAACAGAUGAACAUUUCAAAAUAGGACAUUUAGAGCAGGUCCCUAAACUCAUGUGACUAGCACCCUUAUAUAAGGGAAAGGCCAGCACCUUGAUCACGGGUUCUAGAAUUGUUAGAUCAUGACUUUCAAUUGCUUAAGAUGCCUAAGUCUACGGUAUUUUGUUAUGGUGGCUCUAGCAAAC